UUAAGCGACUAAGCGUACACGGUGGAUGCCCUGGCAGUCAGAGGCGAUGAAGGACGUGCUAAUCUGCGAAAAGCGUCGGUAAGGUGAUAUGAACCGUUAUAACCGGCGAUGUCCGAAUGGGGAAACCCAGUGCAAUUCGUUGCACUAUCGUUAACUGAAUACAUAGGUUAACGAGGCGAACCGGGGGAACUGAAACAUCUAAGUACCCCGAGGAAAAGAAAUCAACCGAGAUUCCCCCAGUAGCGGCGAGCGAACGGGGAGCAGCCCAGAGUCUGAAUCAGCUUGUGUGUUAGUGGAACGGUCUGGAAAGUCCGACGGUACAGGGUGAUAGUCCCGUACACCAAAAUGCACAGGCUGUGAACUCGAAGAGUAGGGCGGGACACGUGGUAUCCUGUCUGAAUAUGGGGGGACCAUCCUCCAAGGCUAAAUACUCCUGACUGACCGAUAGUGAACCAGUACCGUGAGGGAAAGGCGAAAAGAACCCCGGCGAGGGGAGUGAAAAAGAACCUGAAACCGUGUACGUACAAGCAGUGGGAGCACCUUCGGGUGUGACUGCGUACCUUUUGUAUAAUGGGUCAGCGACUUAUAUUCUGUAGCAAGGUUAACCGUAUAGGGGAGCCGCAGGGAAACCGAGUCUUAACUGGGCGUUAAGUUGCAGGGUAUAGACCCGAAACCCGGUGAUCUAGCCAUGGGCAGGUUGAAGGUUGGGUAACACUAACUGGAGGACCGAACCGACUAAUGUUGAAAAAUUAGCGGAUGACUUGUGGCUGGGGGUGAAAGGCCAAUCAAACCGGGAGAUAGCUGGUUCUCCCCGAAAGCUAUUUAGGUAGCGCCUCGUGAACUCAUCUUCGGGGGUAGAGCACUGUUUCGGCUAGGGGGUCAUCCCGACUUACCAACCCGAUGCAAACUACGAAUACCGAAGAAUGUUAUCACGGGAGACACACGGCGGGUGCUAACGUCCGUCGUGAAGAGGGAAACAACCCAGACCGCCAGCUAAGGUCNCAACCGAGAUUCCCCCAGUAGCGGCGAGCGAACGGGGAGCAGCCCAGAGUCUGAAUCAGCUUGUGUGUUAGUGGAACGGUCUGGAAAGUCCGACGGUACAGGGUGAUAGUCCCGUACACCAAAAUGCACAGGCUGUGAACUCGAAGAGUAGGGCGGGACACGUGGUAUCCUGUCUGAAUAUGGGGGGACCAUCCUCCAAGGCUAAAUACUCCUGACUGACCGAUAGUGAACCAGUACCGUGAGGGAAAGGCGAAAAGAACCCCGGCGAGGGGAGUGAAAAAGAACCUGAAACCGUGUACGUACAAGCAGUGGGAGCACCUUCGGGUGUGACUGCGUACCUUUUGUAUAAUGGGUCAGCGACUUAUAUUCUGUAGCAAGGUUAACCGUAUAGGGGAGCCGCAGGGAAACCGAGUCUUAACUGGGCGUUAAGUUGCAGGGUAUAGACCCGAAACCCGGUGAUCUAGCCAUGGGCAGGUUGAAGGUUGGGUAACACUAACUGGAGGACCGAACCGACUAAUGUUGAAAAAUUAGCGGAUGACUUGUGGCUGGGGGUGAAAGGCCAAUCAAACCGGGAGAUAGCUGGUUCUCCCCGAAAGCUAUUUAGGUAGCGCCUCGUGAACUCAUCUUCGGGGGUAGAGCACUGUUUCGGCUAGGGGGUCAUCCCGACUUACCAACCCGAUGCAAACUACGAAUACCGAAGAAUGUUAUCACGGGAGACACACGGCGGGUGCUAACGUCCGUCGUGAAGAGGGAAACAACCCAGACCGCCAGCUAAGGUCCCAAAGUCAUGGUUAAGUGGGAAACGAUGUGGGAAGGCACAGACAGCCAGGAUGUUGGCUUAGAAGCAGCCAUCAUUUAAAGAAAGCGUAAUAGCUCACUGGUCGAGUCGGCCUGCGCGGAAGAUGUAACGGGGCUAAACCAUGCACCGAAGCUGCGGCAGCGACACUAUGUGUUGUUGGGUAGGGGAGCGUUCUGUAAGCCUGCGAAGGUGACCUGUGAGGGUUGCUGGAGGUAUCAGAAGUGCGAAUGCUGACAUAAGUAACGAUAAAGCGGGUGAAAAGCCCGCUCGCCGGAAGACCAAGGGUUCCUGUCCAACGUUAAUCGGGGCAGGGUGAGUCGACCCCUAAGGCGAGGCCGAAAGGCGUAGUCGAUGGGAAACAGGUUAAUAUUCCUGUACUUGGUGUUACUGCGAAGGGGGGACGGAGAAGGCUAUGUUAGCCGGGCGACGGUUGUCCCGGUUUAAGCAUGUAGGCUGGUUGUCCAGGCAAAUCCGGAUAAUCAAGGCUGAGGUGUGAUGACGAGGCACUACGGUGCUGAAGUAACAAAUGCCCUGCUUCCAGGAAAAGCCUCUAAGCAUCAGGUAACAUUAAAUCGUACCCCAAACCGACACAGGUGGUCAGGUAGAGAAUACCAAGGCGCUUGAGAGAACUCGGGUGAAGGAACUAGGCAAAAUGGUGCCGUAACUUCGGGAGAAGGCACGCUGGUGUGUAGGUGAAGCCCCUGCGGGUGGAGCUGAGACCAGUCGAAGAUACCAGCUGGCUGCAACUGUUUAUUAAAAACACAGCACUGUGCAAACACGAAAGUGGACGUAUACGGUGUGACGCCUGCCCGGUGCCGGAAGGUUAAUUGAUGGGGUUAUCCGUAAGGAGAAGCUCUUGAUCGAAGCCCCGGUAAACGGCGGCCGUAACUAUAACGGUCCUAAGGUAGCGAAAUUCCUUGUCGGGUAAGUUCCGACCUGCACGAAUGGCGUAAUGAUGGCCAGGCUGUCUCCACCCGAGACUCAGUGAAAUUGAACUCGCUGUGAAGAUGCAGUGUACCCGCGGCAAGACGGAAAGACCCCGUGAACCUUUACUAUAGCUUGACACUGAACAUUGAGCCUUGAUGUGUAGGAUAGGUGGGAGGCUUUGAAGCGUGGACGCCAGUCUGCGUGGAGCCAACCUUGAAAUACCACCCUUUAAUGUUUGAUGUUCUAACGUUGGCCCCUUACCGGGGUUGCGGACAGUGUCUGGUGGGUAGUUUGACUGGGGCGGUCUCCUCCUAAAGCGUAACGGAGGAGCACGAAGGUUAGCUAAUCCUGGUCGGACAUCAGGAGGUUAGUGCAAUGGCAUAAGCUAGCUUGACUGCGAGCGUGACGGCGCGAGCAGGUGCGAAAGCAGGUCAUAGUGAUCCGGUGGUUCUGAAUGGAAGGGCCAUCGCUCAACGGAUAAAAGGUACUCCGGGGAUAACAGGCUGAUACCGCCCAAGAGUUCAUAUCGACGGCGGUGUUUGGCACCUCGAUGUCGGCUCAUCACAUCCUGGGGCUGAAGUAGGUCCCAAGGGUAUGGCUGUUCGCCAUUUAAAGUGGUACGCGAGCUGGGUUUAGAACGUCGUGAGACAGUUCGGUCCCUAUCUGCCGUGGGCGCUGGAGAAUUGAGGGGGGCUGCUCCUAGUACGAGAGGACCGGAGUGGACGCAUCACUGGUGUUCGGGUUGUCAUGCCAAUGGCACUGCCCGGUAGCUAAAUGCGGAAGAGAUAAGUGCUGAAAGCAUCUAAGCACGAAACUUGCCCCGAGAUGAGUUCUCCCUGAGACUUUAAGUCUCCUGAAGGAACGUUGAAGACGACGACGUUGAUAGGCCGGGUGUGUAAGCGCAGCGAUGCGUUGAGCUAACCGGUACUAAUGAACCGUGAGGCUUAACCUU
rnacentral:rRNA from 1 species